CCAGACUCCUACGGGAGGCAGCAGUGGGGAAUAUUGGGCAAUGGGCGCAAGCCUGACCCAGCAACGCCGCGUGAAGGAAGAAGGCUUUCGGGUUGUAAACUUCUUUUAAGAGGGAAGAGUAGAAGACGGUACCUCUUGAAUAAGCCACGGCUAACUACGUGCCAGCAGCCGCGGUAAUACGUAGGUGGCAAGCGUUGUCCGGAUUUACUGGGUGUAAAGGGAGCGUAGGCCGGCUUUUAAGUCAGCUGUGAAAGUCCGCGGCUCAACCGUGGAAUUGCAGUUGAAACUGGAGGCCUUGAGUGCACACAGGGAUGCCGGAAUUCAUGGUGUAGCGGUGAAAUGCUUAGAUAUCAUGAAGAACUCCGAUCGCGAAGGCAAGUGUCCGGGGUGCAACUGACGCUGAGGCUCGAAAGUGCGGGUAUCAAACAGGAUUAGAUACCCCAGUAUA
rnacentral:rRNA from 1 species